GAGUUUGAUCAUGGCUCAGAUUGAACGCUGGCGGCAUGCUUUACACAUGCAAGUCGAGCGGCAGCGCGGGGCAACCUGGCGGCGAGCGGCGAACGGGUGAGUAAUGCAUCGGAACGUAUCCCGUAGUGGGGGACAACCCAGCGAAAGCUGGGCUAAUACCGCAUAUGCUCUACGGAGGAAAGUGGGGGACCUGAGAGGGCCUCACGCUAUGGGAGCGGCCGAUGUCCGAUUAGCUGGUUGGUGGGGUAACGGCUUACCAAGGCGACGAUCGGUAGCUGGUCUGAGAGGAUGAUCAGCCACACUGGGACUGAGACACGGCCCAGACUCCUACGGGAGGCAGCAGUGGGGAAUUUUGGACAAUGGGGGCAACCCUGAUCCAGCCAUGCCGCGUGC
rnacentral:rRNA from 1 species